rnacentral:rRNA from 1 species
UCAAGUUAAUAAGAGCUUUGGGUGGAUACCUAGGCAUUCAGAAGCGAUGAAGGGCGUGGUUACCGACGAAACACUUCGGGGAGUUGGAAACAAACUUUGAUCCGGAGAUUCCCGAAUGAGGAAACUCUUUAUACUUCUUUUUUGAAUAUAUAGAUUAAGAAGGGCGAACCCGGUGAACUGAAACAUCUAAGUAACCGGAGGAAAAGAAAGCAAUAGCGAUUCUCUUAGUAGCGGCGAGCGAAACGGGAACAGUCUAAACUAAACAAAAUUGUUUAGGGUUGCGGGAGAGGCUUAUUUAAGAAUACUUUGAUUGUUAGAUGAAGCGUUUGGAAUAACGCGCCAUAGAAAGUGAUAGCCUUGUAAUUGAAAACAAAUAAAAGAUUCUGCCUUUAUCCCAAGUAGGAGGGGAUAAGUGAAAACCCCUUUGAAUCUACGAGGACCACCUCGUAAGACUAAAUAUUACUGAAUGACCGAUAGUGAACCAGUACCGUGAGGGAAAGGUGAAAAGAACCCCGGGAGGGGAGUGAAAAGAACAUGAAACCAAAAGCUUACAAGCAGUGGAAGGACGACUAUAACGUCUAACUUCGUUCCUGUUGAAGUAUGAGCCGGCGACUUGUAGGUAGUGGCAGGUUAAGGUUAUACCGGAGCCAUAGUGCAAGCGAGCCUUAAUAGGGCGUCGUCACUAUUUACAGACCCGAACCCGGAUGAUCUAACCAUGGCCAGUGUGAAGCUUGGGUAACACUAAGUGGAAGUACGAACCGACUGUUGUUGAAAAAACAGCGGAUGAGUUGUGGUUAGGGGUGAAAUGCCAAUCGAAUCCGGAGCUAGCUGGUUCUCCCCGAAAUGUGUUUUGGCACAGCGGUUAAUGUUUGAGUUCAGGGGUAAAGCACUGUUUCGGUGCGGGCUGCUAACGCGGUACCAAAUCGAUGCAAACUAAGAAUACUGAACAUUUAUAGUUAACCAGUCAGACUGUGGGGGAUAAGCUCCAUUGUCAAGAGGGAAACAGCCCAGACUACUAGCUAAGGCCCCUAAAUUAUGACUAAGUGAUAAAGGUGGUGGGGAUUCUAAAACAACCAGGAGGUUUGCUUAGAAGCAGCAAUCCUUUAAAGAGUGCGUAAUAGCUCACUGUUCGAGUGACCCUGCGCCGAAAAUGUACGGGGCUAAGUCAUAUGCCGAAGCUGUAGGAUAUAAACAUAAAAAAAUAUCGGUAGGGGAGCGUUCUAUACCGAUUUGAAGCAUUAACGUAAGUGGAUGUGGAUUGGAUAGAAGUGAGAAUGUUGGCUUGAGUAGCGAAAAUAUUGGUGAGAAUCCAAUAUCCCGAAAACCUAAGGGUUCCUCCGGAAGGCUCGUCCACGGGGGGUUAGUCAGGGCCUAAGCCGAGGCGGAAAAGCGUAGGUGAUGGACAACAGGUUAAUAUUCCUGUACUUUUUACUAGUGAUAUAGAGGGACGGAGAAGGCUAUAUCCGCCGAAUGUUGGUUAUCGGUCUAAGUGUUCGAGGUGUUGAGAAACGGUGAAAACGUUUUGAGCUGAGGCAUGAUGGGUAGGCAUAGUAAUUAUGCCGAAUGGAUUAAGGUCCAGCUUCCAAGAAAAGCUUUUAAUAUCAUAACUAGUAAAAACCUGUACCCGAAACCGACACAGGUAGGUAGGUAGAGUAUACCAAGGGACGCGAGAUAACUCUCUCUAAGGAACUCGGCAAAAUGACCUCGUAACUUCGGAAGAAGAGGUACCCUGAAAAGGGUUGCAAAAUCCAGGCUCAGGCGACUGUUUAUCAAAAACACAGGUCUCCGCUAAGUUGUAAAACGAUGUAUGGGGGCUGACGCCUGCCCAGUGCCGGAAGGUUUAAGAAGUUGGUUAUUCUUUGAAGAAGCUGAUAACUAAAGCCCCGGUGAACGGCGGCCGUAACAAUAACGGUCCUAAGGUAGCG